UACGGAGGAUGCGAGCGUUAUCCGGAUUUAUUGGGUUUAAAGGGUGCGUAGGCGGCAUGUUAAGUUAGUGGUAAAAUGUCGGAGCUAAACUCCGGAUCGCCAUUAAUACUGUCAUGCUCGAGUACAGACGAGGUAGGCGGAAUAAGUUAAGUAGCGGUGAAAUGCAUAGAUAUAACUUAGAACUCCGAUCGCGAAGGCAGCUUACGAGACUGUAACUGACGCUGAAGCACGAGAGCGUGGGUAGCAAACAGGAUUAGAUACCCUGGUAGUCCU
rnacentral:rRNA from 1 species